rnacentral:rRNA from 1 species
GACGAACGCUGGCGGCGUGCCUAAUACAUGCAAGUCGAACGAACUCUGGUAUUGAUUGGUGCUUGCAUCAUGAUUUACAUUUGAGUGAGUGGCGAACUGGUGAGUAACACGUGGGAAACCUGCCCAGAAGCGGGGGAUAACACCUGGAAACAGAUGCUAAUACCGCAUAACAACUUGGACCGCAUGGUCUGAGUUUGAAAGAUGGCUUCGGCUAUCACUUUUGGAUGGUCCCGCGGCGUAUUAGCUAGAUGGUGGGGUAACGGCUCACCAUGGCAAUGAUACGUAGCCGACCUGAGAGGGUAAUCGGCCACAUUGGGACUGAGACACGGCCCAAACUCCUACGGGAGGCAGCAGUAGGGAAUCUUCCACAAUGGACGAAAGUCUGAUGGAGCAACGCCGCGUGAGUGAAGAAGGGUUUCGGCUCGUAAAACUCUGUUGUUAAAGAAGAACAUAUCUGAGAGUAACUGUUCAGGUAUUGACGGUAUUUAACCAGAAAGCCACGGCUAACUACGUGCCAGCAGCCGCGGUAAUACGUAGGUGGCAAGCGUUGUCCGGAUUUAUUGGGCGUAAAGCGAGCGCAGGCGGUUUUUUAAGUCUGAUGUGAAAGCCUUCGGCUCAACCGAAGAAGUGCAUCGGAAACUGGGAAACUUGAGUGCAGAAGAGGACAGUGGAACUCCAUGUGUAGCGGUGAAAUGCGUAGAUAUAUGGAAGAACACCAGUGGCGAAGGCGGCUGUCUGGUCUGUAACUGACGCUGAGGCUCGAAAGUAUGGGUAGCAAACAGGAUUAGAUACCCUGGUAGUCCAUACCGUAAACGAUGAAUGCUAAGUGUUGGAGGGUUUCCGCCCUUCAGUGCUGCAGUUAACGCAUUAAGCAUUCCGCCUGGGGAGUACGGCCGCAAGGCUGAAACUCAAAGGAAUUGACGGGGGCCCGCACAAGCGGUGGAGCAUGUGGUUUAAUUCGAAGCUACGCGAAGAACCUUACCAGGUCUUGACAUACUAUGCAAAUCUAAGAGAUUAGACGUUCCCUUCGGGGACAUGGAUACAGGUGGUGCAUGGUUGUCGUCAGCUCGUGUCGUGAGAUGUUGGGUUAAGUCCCGCAACGAGCGCAACCCUUAUUAUCAGUUGCCAGCAUUAAGUUGGGCACUCUGGUGAGACUGCCGGUGACAAACCGGAGGAAGGUGGGGAUGACGUCAAAUCAUCAUGCCCCUUAUGACCUGGGCUACACACGUGCUACAAUGGAUGGUACAACGAGUUGCGAACUCGCGAGAGUAAGCUAAUCUCUUAAAGCCAUUCUCAGUUCGGAUUGUAGGCUGCAACUCGCCUACAUGAAGUCGGAAUCGCUAGUAAUCGCGGAUCAGCAUGCCGCGGUGAAUACGUUCCCGGGCCUUGUACACACCGCCCGUCACACCAUGAGAGUUUGUAACACCCAAAGUCGGUGGGGUAACCUUUUAGGAACCAGCCGCCUAAGGUGGGACAGAUGAUUAGGGUG